GGUCCAGAGCGGAAGUGGCUCUGCGAGCCACGCUAAUCGGGGAAGGCAGCGAUGGCUGCCGGCGUACCCUGUGUGCUUGUCACCAGCUGUUCUUCCACCUUCACCGGGGACAGGCUGGUUCAACAUAUUCUUGGAACAGAAGAUCUUGCUGCAGAUACGCCUGCCAACAAUGGUGUGAGAUUUUACCCCUGGACUAUUGAUAACAAAUACUAUUCUGCAGACAUCAAUCUGUGUGUGGUGGCAAAUAGAUUCCUCGUCACAGCUGAAAUCGCAGAGGCUGUCCAGGCUUUCAUUGUUUACUUUGACAGCACCCAAAAAUCUGGUCUUGACAGUGUUUCAUCAUGGCUUCCAUUGACAGAAGAAUGGCAACCAGAGGUGAUGAUCUUGGUUUGUGACAGAGUGUCUGAAAAUGGUGUAAACCGACCAAAAGCUCAAGAAUGGUGCAUCCAACAUGGCUUUGAGUUGGUAGAACUUAAUCCAGAAGAAUUACCUGAGGAAGAUGAUGACUUCCCAGAGUCUACGGGGGUAAAGAGAAUCAUACAAGCCUUGAAUGCCAAUGUCUGGUCAAAUGUAGUAAUGAAAAGCGAGAGAAAUCAAAGCUUUGGCCUUCUCAGUUCAUUGGCUGGUGCAAACUGUAACAUUGGGUCAACUGAGAACCAUCACACCGAACCUCAUUUGCCUGUAGGAGAUGGGACUGAAUGCUGCUUUGAUCAUCAAGAUAGCGCUUCUAACACAACUGAUUCCCAGGUUGAUAGCAUUGUAGACCCCAUGCUGGAUCUGGAUAUUCAAGAGUUAGCCAGUCUCACUACUGGAGGAGGAAAUCUGGAAAAUUUUGAACGACUUUUUUCAAAGCUAAAAGAAAUGAAAGACAAAGCAGCAACUUUGCCUCAUGAACAAAGAAAGUUGCAUGCAGAAAAGGUGGCCAAAGCAUUUUGGAUGGCAAUUGGUGGAGACAGAGAUGAGAUUGAAGGCAUUUCUUCUGAUGAAGAAAACUGAGCUUCUUGUGUCUGGUUAGCCAAGAUGGUAACAACACACUUUAGUUGUGUUAAGGGAUGUCAGGAACAUGGGACACUGCAGGGGUGGGAGAAGACAGACACAGGUGUUACCUAUGUCUAGUCAAAAAAAGUUCCUCCCCAUCCUUGCUGUUGGGGAGCAGUGGAGAUGGAGCAGGUGAUUGCAAUUCCUUGGGGGACAUUUAGGGUUAUCAGGAAGUAGCCAAAGCACUGUUGCAGUUGUUCGGUCACCUGGGGCCUUCCCUCCAAGACACCUUCCUUGGACAUGGAAACCCAGAAAGGCAAGCUUAGCUGUGGCCAGGAUUCAGGUACUUCCUACUAGACAAACUGUGUGGUCUUAUGGCUCUCAUUAUUUCUCAUACCAUACUGAUCUAUACGAUUGGGGAAGCUGGGAGGGCCCAGUGCCACGAGCUCUACCCCUAAGAAUACAACCCACAUGCCACAAUGACCGAGGAGGAAGGAGCAAGCCAUGUAAGCCCCUCCCUUCUGUGGCUCAAGGUCUCAGCCUCCCACUAACUCUCAGGCUGUUGCCAGACUUCCCUCCUCUCACUUUUCAUGCACGCAUUACAGCUGCCUUUGCUUUGACAUUCCUGCACUCACCACACCCAGGCUGGUUUCCAACUACCUUCAAGCCACAUAUACUUGUGUUCUGUCUACUUACUGAGCCCUUCCCAUUCCCCAUGGAAUUGCAAUCACUCCUUCCUAUCCACUCCUAGGGUGGUGAGGAGUAGAGGAGAAACCAUCCCAUACAAAGGACAGCUGUGUCUGUCUUUCCCUCUUGGCUCCACAGCAGCCGAAGCCCUGACGCUUCCUGGAUGGACCCUGUUUUGUUUUGCUGAGAUUCCCAUCAUCAUGUUGACCAUCUAGCCAGUAUAAUAGUAACUUACAGAAGGCUCCUCUCCCUCAGAGUCUAUUAUAAGGGAAUGAAGAGUAUGACAAUUAGAAGUGGGCUUCCUCCAGAUUUACUUUUUGCUCUAGAGGAGUGGGAAUUAGCUGCAGAAGCUCUUGCCCAUGUAAAUGAGUCAAGCCACCGUGGGCUAUCCAUUCUGUCAUGGCAACAAUCCCUGUAUUUCUGUUUGGUUGCCAUUGCUCUUGAGUUUAUACCAUCAUUCCCAGGACUUUAUCUCCUCUCACUUUCUCAGCUAAUUUUCAAGAACCAAGCUUACCUGAUCCCAUGAUGUCUGUCUUUUGCGAGAAACUGAAAUGAGGGAGCCGUAAAAACAUGAUAAUUGCAGCAUACAAGACUGUCCUGCAGCAGCACUCUCCCCAAAGUGAACUGCCAACCACA